GCCAUGCUCAGAGAAUAGUAAAGACUAGCAGCAAGUAGUUUAAUAUCACUAAACAUACCACAAAAUAAAUGGCUACCGGUGACAGCCCUGAGGACAGAUGAGAUUUUAGAAAUAGGCGGCCGGGUGCAGUGGCUCAGGCUUGUAAUCCCAGCACUUUGGGAGGCCGAGGUGGGCGGAUCACCUGAGGUCAGGAGUUUGAGACCAGCCUGCCCAACGUGGCAAAACCCCGUCUGUACAAAAAAUACAAAAAUUUAGCCAGGCAUGGUGGUGGGUGCCUGUAAUCCCAGCUACUUGGGAGGCUGAGGCAGGAGAAUCACUUGAACCCGGGAGGCGGAGGUUGCAGUGAGCCAAGAUCCUGCCACUGCACUCCAGCCUGGGCGACAAGUGCAAAAUUCUGUCUCAAAAACAAAAACAAAACAAAACAAACAAAAAAAAAACAAAAAAAAAAAAACAGAAAUAGGCAAGGUAAGAUGGGGGUAUUUUAUGGCACCUGUCUCAAAAGAGGUAUGUAGAGUGUCCAAAAUAAGUUAAGAAGAAAAUAUUAUAUUAAAAAAAUAAAGCUGAGGGAAAAUGUGUUGUGUAAGAAAACCAAAAAUAAGAGGAUGGGACCAUGAUGAAAAUUCACCUUUAAGAGAUGGGAGGAGUAAGAUGAAAAUAUAAAAUGGCCGCAAAGGAUUGGUUAAAAAACUGAGCAGUGUUUUGGUAAAAGAGAGUAUGGAGCACACAAAUCAAACUACACUGCUUCCUAAAACUCUAUUUAAACUAUGGUAAAGGGAAUUUUUAAAAGACAUAAGGACGAUAAGUAUAAAAACUGAGACUGAAGAUAGCAUAAAAAUGUGGAAACUAGAAAGCAAAUGGACAAAAAAUAGCUGAUUAAGAGGAUCCAAGAAAACAAAAUCAGAAGUUGACAGUGAAGAAAGCCAAGAACCAAUUAGACUUACACAGCAAAAUCAUGCAAUGGCAGAGAAUUGAGACUAUAAAAUAUGCUAGAAGUAGAAAUGGCUGAAUGGAAGACAAAGUGGAGGAGAUAUCCUAGAACAGAAUAGCAGGAGACAAAGUGAGAGAGGGGCAAAAGAAAAAUAGGAAAAUUGGAGGAGCAAUUCAAGCAAUUCAAGAAAACUUCCAAAUUGAAAGACAUAAUUUCCAAAACUGGAAGGGUCUACCAAAUUCCCAUCCCAAAUAAAUGAAAAUAGGCCUAUCCCAAGACACAAUAUCUACAUAUUUCAGAAAAGUGGAGACAAACAGUACAUUUUACAUUUUACAAGCUUCCAGUGGGGAUGGGUAACAAAUCACUUAGAAAGGGAUCAGUAAUCAGGAGACCUUUGGUCCUCUCAAAAUGAGUUUUGCAAGCUAGAAGUUCUAGACUAGCUCUGCAUUGUAUAAAAUUGUUAUAUACUGAUUACAUUGUCAACAGAUGUGGUUUAGGGUUUAAGCUCUGUGGUUUAGGGUUUAGGAGCCUGUUCUGGAGAAUUAAAUUUUCAGUUGCAAAGAUAGGAAAAUAUUCUGGAACAGUCAACCAGAUCAAGGAGCUUGCACCAGAUUGUAAAGCAGUACACUACUUCUUUCAUGGAAAAAGACAUGCUUUAAGGAAAACAAAACAGCUGAAAUAAUCAUAAUCACUGUGUUUAGUUAUAUAGUAAGAACUGUGAAUUACCUAAAGGCUAAUGUGUAGGUCUAAGAUUUAAUUAUCUUAAAUAUGUGAUAAUGUGUAAGAUCAUAAACAACUGCCAUUGCAUGCUGAGGUAUGAUGAUUAUUAAGGGGGAAAGGUCAGUGAGAAUGCUGGACUAUGACAUAAAAUCUUAGUGGCUGUGCAAGAUAAUAAACCAGUUUGGUCCGAAUGCUUUAGAGAUGUUAAAUGAACAGCCUAAGUUGCUUUGGUGUGGUAUCUUUGGUAUUUUUAGUGACCACAGUAUUUCCAACUAGGGAAAGAAAGCAAAAGUUAAAAAAAAAAAAAAAGACAGCUCUUAAAUAUAUGUUCUUGGGCCUUAGCCAUAUUUUAAAUCAUUUUUAAUAAAAUUUCAUUAUUUAAAACAAUUAAAGGUCCUAACAAUUAUUGUUCUUGCAUUAUUUUCUUUCUUUUUAUUUUUGUUUGAGACAAAGUCUGGCUCU
rnacentral:lncRNA from 10 species